rnacentral:rRNA from 1 species
CAGUCGCCGCGGGAAUACGAAGGGUGCAAGCGUUAAUCGGAAUUACUGGGCGUAAAGCGUGCGUAGGCGGUUUGUUAAGUCUGCUGUGAAAUCCCCGGGCUCAACCUGGGAAUGGCAGUGGAUACUGGCAAGCUAGAGUGUGUCAGAGGAUGGUGGAAUUCCCGGUGUAGCAGUGAAAUGCGUAGAGAUCGGAAGGAACAUCUGUGGCGAAGGCGACUAUCUGGGCCAACACUGACACUGAGGCACGAAAGCGUGGGGAGCAAACAGGAUUAGAUACCCCCGUAGUCCCUGUCUCUUAUAC